UACGUAGGGUGCGAGCGUUAAUCGGAAUUACUGGGCGUAAAGCGUGCGCAGGCGGCUAGGUGUGUCAGAUGUGAAAGCCCCGGGCUUAACCUGGGAAUGGCAUUGGAAACUGGCUCGCUGGAGUGUGGCAGAGGGGGGUGGAAUUCCGCGUGUAGCAGUGAAAUGCGUAGAGAUGCGGAGGAACACCGAUGGCGAAGGCAGCCCCCUGGGCUAACACUGACGCUCAUGCACGAAAGCGUGGGGAGCAAACAGG
rnacentral:rRNA from 1 species